rnacentral:rRNA from 1 species
CAGCAUUUACUUCGGUAAAUGGCGACCGGCGCACGGGUGAGUAACGCGUAUGCAACCUACCUUUAACUGGGGCAUAGCUCGAGGAAACUCGAAUUAAUUCCCCAUAGUACAUUCUAUUAUCUCAUGAUAUAAAUGUUAAAGAUUUAUCGGUUAAAGAUGGGCAUGCGUCUGAUUAGUUUGUUGGUAAGGUAACGGCUUACCAAGACUACGAUCAGUAGGGGGUCUGAGAGGAUGAUCCCCCACACUGGUACUGAGACACGGACCAGACUCCUACGGGAGGCAGCAGUAAGGAAUAUUGGGCAAUGGGCGCAAGCCUGACCCAGCCAUGCCGCGUGCAGGAUGACGACCCUAUGGGUUGUAAACUGCUUUUAUAUAGGAAGAAAACACUCUUGCGAGAGAAACUGACGGUACUAUAUGAAUAAGGACCGGCUAACUCCGUGCCAGCAGCCGCGGUAAUACGGAGGGUUCAAGCGUUUUCCGGAUUUAUUGGGUUUAAAGAGUGCGUAGGUGGUUUAUUAAGUCAGUGGUGAAAUCCUGCAGCUCAACUGUAGAACUGCCAUUGAUACUGGUAAACUUGAGUUUGGUUUAGGUAAGUGGAAUUUAUGAUGUAGCGGUGAAAUGCAUAGAUAUCAUAAGGAACACCAAUAGCGAAGGCAGCUUACUGGACCACAACUGACACUGAGGCACGAAAGCGUGGGGAGCGAACAGGAUUAGAGACCCUGG